UACGGAAGGGGCAAGCGUUGUUCGGAAUCAUUGGGCGUAAAGGGCGCGUAGGUGGUUUUGUAUGUCUACCGUGAAAGCGUACGGCUCAACCGUAUUUAGUCGGUAGAAACUGCAAGACUUGAGGCUGGGAGGGGCUGGUGGAAUUCCCUGUGUAGCGGUGAAAUGCGUAGAGAUGGGGGAGAACACUCGUGGCGAAGGCGGCCAGCUAGACCAGUUCUGACACUGAGGCGCGACAGCGUGGGGAGCAAACAGG
rnacentral:rRNA from 1 species